rnacentral:ncRNA from 1 species
GCGAUGCUCGAUCGGCGUAGCAACCGGCAGCAUUCCGCCAAAACUGCGGGGUAACGAAUAGAAACGCGAUAGAGGCUCUGGGAGUCAUUGGGGUGAGCGGCCCGAGGACUGCAAAACCCGUUUCCGACAACCUCCUGAGUAGAUCGCGUACUCGCGCAGCGAAAGUUCACGUC